UCUGAUUGGUAACCAAAAGCUGU
rnacentral:snRNA from 1 species